rnacentral:ncRNA from 2 species
UUAAGGACAGUCGUCUCAGGUUUUCCCCAGUCAGGGGAAAUGAAAAGGGAAUCCCGUGUAAAUCGGGAACCGGCCCGCGGCUGUGAGCGGGGACGAAAGCCGCAUUAAGCCACUCUGGACAGAAACAGGGGAAGGCGCGGCAAGCCCAGCACUCACUUCAUUUCUGUUUGUUGCUUAUAAUCAGGUUGUACUGCAAGGAGCCAACCGGUUUAACUGGCAACAAUUAGUACCUGAAGUGAGUGCUGGGCAAGUAGGACGAUCCGCAAGUCAGAAGACCUGCCUGAGACCUUAUUGGACC